CACAUCUCCAGGGACUGCCCCCAGGGCGGCGGCGGCGGUGGCGGUGGCUACGGAGGUGGUGGCGGCCGUGGCGGUGGUGGUGGCGGUGGCGGCUGCUUCUCCUGCGGCGAGUCCGGCCACUUCUCGCGCGAGUGCCCCAACAAGACCAACUAGACGGCUUUGCCCGUCAGAUCUGAGUGCCCCGUUCCCCUUCGCUCCUUUUCCUACCGCCUGACUCUGCAGCAAGUCAUACCUAUACCUAUCAGUAUUAGUAUAUGUCGCCGUAGUGUUCCCCGUGCUUCUCGUAGGAAGAAGAAUCGACGAUGCGAGCUUGGUUCCAGAAGUAUUGUUGGUGGCGUGUUGUUCGUUUGAAGUUAUCUUGUGUCGUCUGAUGGGGACAGACCUUAUAUCUUUAUGUAUUGGAUUGAAUGGACUAAGUUAUGCAAGUCAAGUUAUGCUGUCUGAUUUUGAUAUCAUUGAAACUUGCAUGUUCUUUUCAUUUUUCCAAAAACAAAAACAGCUGAUCGUUUUUCAGUUCGCGCGGAUUCGUUUCUCCAGUUGUUGGGUCUUCGUCUGCAUCUCAGAGCGUGCUCCUCUGGGCGUCCAGGCUAGAAUGUUCAUUGUUUAGUAGCAUGCUUGAGUGCUAUUGUUCAGAGAUUAGUAUUAGUAUAUUUGUUCAGAUAUUAGAAUUUUUUCAUGCGUCAUAUUUCAGUCAGAUUGUGUUCAAUGCAUGAAUGAACAGCCUCACUAUUUAGAUGUGUGUACUGAGAUCACAAGAAGUUUUGGAAGCUAUGUUUUGCUUACAGUUUCUCUAUGCUUUUUGUUCCUUAGUCUGUCAGCUUGCAUCAUUGUUCAGUAUAUCGUGGUUUUCAUAGAUUAACUAUCUGUCUUAUUGUACAGUCAUUUCUCAUUUCAUUAUUCUGUUUGUUAUUCACACAAUGAGCUCUUGCCUGGCGAUGGCUUCUUAUGUCCAGUAUUUUUUUCAUAUAGUUUUUCUUUCAUAGUCAAGCCCAUUCAGCUCAGUAUUUUAGCACCUCACUUUUCUUCAGUUUUUCAUUCUUCAUGAGCGAUAAAUCACGCUGAAGGCUCUACUUGCACUUCUUUUGGUCUCUCUUUGUCUUGAAGCUCUUAUUCAGUUUUUAGCCUUUUAAUUCGGCUUCACCAGUUUCUUUGUUCCUUGUAAUUUCUGUUUAAAGUUUCUCAAAUUUUAUCCAUGGCACAUAGCAUUAUUUAUUCAUAUUGCGGUAAUGAUUAUGAUCCAUCCUUUUGGAAGUGACAAACAAAGAAGCACCCAGAGCUAGACACUUUCUUUUGCAUGGUCAAUCUUUUUUUCAUUUGCAUGGUUGGUUUUUGCAUUGACGGUGAAUUUCAAGUGCAAUCAAACUGUAAGUCAGUCACCUUGGUUCAUUUUGUACCGAUGAAUGGAAAACUGGAAAUUAGCGUUUGCUUUCUACUCCCUCCGUUCCUAAAUAUUUGUCUUUCUAGAGAUUUCAACAAGUGACUACAUAUGGAGCAAAAUGAGUGAAUCUAUACUCUAAAAUAUGUCUAUAUACAUCCGUAUGUGGUAACCAUUUGAGAUCUCUAAAAAGACAAAUAUUUAGGGACGGAGGGAGUAUGAAGUAGGGCCAGAUGGCUUUUUCUCUCUAAAAUUGACUGGCAAUUGCAUUUGUAGCCAUGGAACACACACCUUUGCUGAUAGUCCAAGUAGCAUACUUUUGUUAGCUAUUCAGAAAAGAUGUUGCUCUAUUUCUAUCUCAUCAGUAUUAGUGUGUGUUUCUCAUCAGUAUUAGUGUGUGUUUCUUCAGUCUUUUCUCUGUCAGUGUUUAGAUUUCAGUGCUAUAUCAGAUAUAUCUUCACCAACGCAGCAUUUUAUCGAACAUGCAAGUCUAUCUAGCUUUUUUUCUUACAUUUUGGCCUCAAGAAUUUGUGCCGCUAUGUUUUCUUUUUCCAGAGAUGAUCACGUGUAUGUAGUUUACCGUGUGCCUAUUUAGUUGUAGUGUCAAGUGGCAGGUCAUUGUGGGAUGAAUGUUUCUUGAGUAUGAUCUGUAGUAGACUAUUAAGAAUCCUGAAAUCUUGGAUUUUGGUGGCAAAUUAGUACUCUGCAUGUGUAUUAAUAUGAAAGUAGACUUGUCAAUUUAAUUUCAAUUGGUGAUGCUUAUCAUGUGCAUUCUGAGAUCAACAGCCGAUGGAUCUUGAAUUCCAGGGCCUAGUUCUGAAUCUGUUACAUUGGCCAACGAGCUCAGUGAGUUACAUGUCAACAAUUUACUCUAGCAUGGUAUAUUUGAACUUGGCUGGCUGGGCAACUUGUACCGUUUAUAUGCUUUUGUAUUUCUUUUUGUGAAUAUAUUUGGUUUUGUAUAUACAUGACCUGAUUUUAUAUGCUUGGCUGAAAGUUGCACUGGUAAAUUUCAUGUUGCUUGUUUCUCAAGAGUGUUGUCUGGAGGUUUGGUUAUUUUUUUUUUGAAACGGGCAAAAGAUUUGCCGCAUAUAUUAAUUAAGAAGGAGAAGAAUGUUUUGUUACAGGCCCGCAACUACAAGGAUUUUACUCUCCCGGAAUGAUGGUCCCUAACUUUUUUGCGCCUGCGGCGACCCAGAGUUUAGCUUCAAGCUUGAUGUUGUUGAGCAAGAUUGUUGGCGGAGAGGACUUGUUGCGGAAGACCCUCCUGUUUCGUUCAUUCCAAAUAGACCAAGAUAUUAGCAUGGUAAGGGAAGCCCGGGCCUUGCGAUUUGGCAUGGAGAUGUUGGAGCGGUUGACCCACCAAUCUUUGACAGAUUGCUCAAGAUGACAUGUAGGAGUGUGAAGGUGCUCAAGGUGUAGCCAUUCAUUGACCAAAUUCCAGAGGCGAAUGGUGAAUCUACAUUUGUAGAAGAGGUGGGCGCUGGACUCUUGUACACGCUUGCAUAGGGGGCAAAGGUUGCAAUUUGGCCACCCCCGCUUUGCCAGUCUGUCAGCUGUCCAAAUCCUAUCUUGGAUAGCCAACCACACAAAGAACUUCACUUUAGGCGGCGCCCAGGCUUUCCACACCGCAUGUGGCAUCGGAGAGUGUGUAGAGCCCAUGAAUUGUGCCAAGUAAGCGCUUGCCGACGAGUAUUGUCUGUUCUUAGUGUGCUUCCAGAUGAUUUCAUCCUCGACGUGCUCCACAAGAUGAAAUCCAUUGAUGAGAGUCCAAAGGUUUAUGAAUUGCCUAAUGUGCUCGACGGUGAAGCUUAUCGUGAUCUUAAUCUUGAAGAUCCAUGCAUCAUUGAGGAGCGCAUCCUUGACUUUCCAUUUUUUCCUUGAGGAUGCCUCGAAGAUAAGAGGCGCGAUUUCCUUAGGCUUUCGGUCUUGAACCCAUGGAGCUUCCCAAAAGGGGGUCCUCGCCCCAUUACCAACCGUGAUUGUUGUGCAUGCGUAGAAGAGGUUGAGGUCCAUCUCAUCGUAAGGAUUUCCCAUGCCGACCCACAUUCUUGUUGGUUCCUUCCACUCGAACCAAGGCCAUCUCAGUCUUAGGGCUCUUGCAAAUUUUGUUGUGUUCAGUACUCCGAGUCCUCCCCUCUCAAAAGGUCGGCAGACCAUGUCCCAGUUGACCUUGCACUUGGCACCAGUCGUCCUGUCCGCGCCGGACCGAAGGAAUGCCCUCGCAAUCUUGUUUGUGCUGUGUAGGAUGCUCGGGGGGACAAUCAACGGCGUGAUGUAGUAGACCACUUGCGAGGCGAGUGAAGAUUUGACAAGUGUGGUGCGCCCGAUGGUGGUGAUGUUGUUACCCUCCCAUGGGAUGAGCUUAGCCGCCGCCUUGUCCUCUAGGAAUUGAAAGUCCACUUUCUUGAGUUGCCACACCGAGAGUGGAAGCCCCAAGUAUCUCAUCGGAAAGGAAGCCCUCACCGCCGGCAAGCUUUGGGUGAUAUGCUCAAGGUUUAGGUGUGCACAUUUAAUUGGGACGAACGAGCUCUUGCUGAAGUUGGUUUGGAGGCCUGAGACCUCACCAAAGCCUUUGAGGAUGGGGGCGAGGUUGUCAAUGUCUCGCUUAAUGGGCGCCAUGAAUACCGCGACAUCAUCCGCAUACAGGGAGGUUUGCAUGAUAGUGCCUCUACCCUGGAUUUUGUGGAGUAGCCCCUUUCUUGUAGCCAAUUCGAGAAGUUGUUGAAGGGGGUCGAUAGAGAUGACAAAUAAGAGAGGUGACAAGGGGUCCCCUUGCCUGAACCCGCAGCGGUGGAAGAUUGCGGGGCCGGGCACCCCAUUGAGGAGAAUCCUGGAUGAUGAAGAGUUUAGGAGAGCAGCCACCCAAUUGUGGAACUUGCAUGGGAAACCCCUCCUACGCAGGAGAUUGAGGAUAUACUCCCAACGCACCGAAUCAAAAGCCUUGCGGAUGUCAAGUUUAAAGAGGAGAGGAGGAGGAGGUUUGGUUAUCAUGAAUAUCAAAGGAUGAAACAUAAUAAGGUCAUUUCGUUUACCUCUGCAUGAUUUUAGUGUGUUUCUUCAGUCUUUUCUCUCAGCUUUCACUUCAGAUGUUAUUGCGAAAACACCCACAGCUUAUCAAAUCCAUUUCUUUAAACGCAACAGCGUCGCUAGGUACGUCCUUGUUCUUGGCUCCUUUGACUCCAGCCCCAUAAGCUAUUCUUUCACCUGCCUUUCAAAUUUUACAACAUGCUAUCCGUCUGUUUUACCAUUUUGCCUUGGGUUUUUGUGUCACUUCUGUUGAAGGCGGAUGUUGUCAGUUUUCCAGAUUGUGAACAUGAGCUGGGGAGGAAUUAUUUAGUUUCAGCUUUCAUGAAACAGAAAAGCUAACCAGCGAAAUAAGGUUUUUGGUGAUCUCCAGCGAACACCCUUCCUCGGCCUUCAUACUCAUCCAACCCCCGCCCCCACUUUCCUCAUCCUCACCACUCUCUUCUAGGCAGGCCCCUGUGAUCUUCGGCCAUUCUCGUCGUUUAUCUCCUGUGGUCGAGGUUUGGCUGUAAGUCUCUAUUCUUGCCACCGAUCUAUCACGCAGUCCUUGACGACGAGAAUGGAGCUCGACUUCUGAUGUUCUUCCCUCCCAAGAUUCCCUGUGGUGAGCAACGCCACUCUUUCCCGAUGGAACCAGACAGCAGCCGAGGAGGCACUGCAUCGCUCGAACUGCCAUGGAUGGACUUGCUUUAGUUCCUGGAUCUGUCGGCGUGCCUUGCAACCGUCGUUGCCCCUCCAGGAGAUCGACGCUAGCGCGGCGACCUACGACUUGGCUUGGAGCCCCUACGGCUAGCUGCUCGCCAUGGCCGCCUCCGGCCGCCGCAAGGAGCUCCUGUGCCAGAUCCAACACCACGCAGGUUGCUCCCAAGCCUCCAACCUCCGUCCGCCUCGAAGGACUGCGGCAUGGUGCUCAUCCUUAGGUUCUCCCCCUGCUCUCUCCCUCCCUUCCAUCUUUCUUCUGCUUUUUGUGCUCCCAAUUGGUGUGUGCUUGCUGGUCUAUGGCCAUGGCCGGUCCUUGUGUGCGCACUAUGCGAUGGACCGCGGCGUGGUGCUCAUUCCCUUGGGUUAUUCUCCCCCUGCUUGCUCCCUCCUUUCCAUCUUUCUUCUUCUGUUUUUUGUGCUCCCCAUUGGUACGCACUCUGUGCUUGCUGUGCUUCCAGCUCAUAGCAGUUCAGUAGUCUUUACACAGGUUUCUUCAGAUUUCCAACGUGAACGAAUUUAUUUUUAUGCCAAAUACCAGCUAUGUUAGGCUAUGAGGAUGGGCCAACUCAUAUAAUAACAUAAUGGCAAAUCCAGAUUUGUUGUCAUGGCUAUAUCAUGCGAAUUGUAUGCUUUCUAUCAUGGCAAUUCACCAAUACCUUUUCCUUUUUGUUGCGCUACACUGUGAGGUAUCUAAUAUUUUAUAUCAGUAUGCAAGUUAGGUACUGUUUGGUAUUGCUUCGCUCCACAACUCCGCUCCCGGAGUUGGCGAAGCUGCAGUUCAAAAUGGCGGAGUUAUAGUUUCCCCGCUCUGUAGAUUCCGGGAGUGGGUGAUUAUUGAACAGGGCCUUAGUCUAGUUGGCAAAUUCAUAUUAGGUGUGUAGAUAGUGUGGACAAACUGCCAUGGCAAAUUCACAUCAAGCAUUAAGAUAGUUUUUAGUUGGCAGUAAACUGCCAUGGCACUUUUUUAUAGUCUCCAUCUACUAAUACAAGGCCAGUUCACAUUUUUAUGUCUAAUUUGACCAUUAAUUUUACCAACAAAAAUUGAGUUAUAUGCCAUAAGAAGUACGUUACUAGAUGCGCAUAUGAAAGAACCUUUUGAUAAUAUAUUCUACUCCCUCCGUUCCAAAUUAGUUGACUCAGAUUUGUCUAGAUAUGGGUAUAUUUAGACAUGUUUUAGUGUUAGAUAUAUCCGUAUCUAGAUAAAUUCAAGUCAACUAAUUUGGAACGGAGGGAGUAUAUGACAGACAACCCAUAUUUUCUUGACCAAAAUUAUCAGUCAAAGUUUGAAACAAAAAAUGAAGUGGUCUUGUAUAUUAAAAUGGAGGGAGUCUAAUUUUGCCAUGUUACAUGGUUGCAAUUGGUGAAGGCAAUUUCCACACCAAUUUUUACAAUCAGUAAACUGCCAUGGCAAUUAGUCUUUCUUUUUGCAAUGACAUCUUACAUAUUUUUGCCAUUUUAUACUGUUGGUGAUCGUUGUUGUGAAUGCAAUUUUCACCCUUCACAGUCCGUAAAAUUGCCAUGGGCCUUGUAUAUAAAAAUGAAUGGAGUAUAAUUUUGCCAUGUUACACAGUUGCAAUUGGUGAAGGCACUUUCCACACCAGUUCUUACAAACUUUCAUGGCAAUUAGUCUUUCUUUUCGUAGUGACACCUUACAUAUUUUUGCCAUUUUAUAUAGUUGUUGAUCGGUGUUGUGAAUGCAAUUUUCACCCUUCACAGUUCAUAAAAUUUUCAUGGGCAAUUUAGUAUGAUUUUUUGCCAAGAGUCCAUGACACCUUAUAUAUUCUUUUUGCACGGAUUUUUCAUAAAAUGUGUAUCCAACACAUGGCAAUUUUUGGAAAAUGUUUGUUUUUGAUCAUUAGCAUUUUCUUAAAAGAAGAAAUGUUCUAUACAACAUGGCAAGUUUGAAACAUGUUUUUCAAAUGGUCAAAAUCUGUUCUUUUUGUUAUUAUUAUUUAAUAGAUGUCAAUUAUUAGUAUUAAGAGAUGGCCCUUUUAUUAUUAAGAAAUGGCCUUUUAUUAUUAGGAGAUGGCAUUUUUGUUUAUUAAGAGAUGCAUUAUUUAUUUAUUAAGAGAUGCAUUUUUUAUUUAUUAAGAGAUUCCAUUUUAUAUUAAGGUAUGACAAUUUUCUAUUAAGAGAAAACAUUUUUUGUUUAUUAAGAGAUGCCAUUUUUUUUAUGAAGAGAUCGACAUUUUUAUAUUAAGAUGUGACAUUCUUAUAUUAAGAUGUGACAUUUUUAUGAUUAAGAGAGGCAUUUUUCUUCUUCUUUGUUACAUUUUUUGGAAAGGGAUGCUUUAUUACUUAAAAGUUUUAAGCAUUACAUCCGGCCUCUGCAUAACUAAGAUGCAUAAAUAAGAUGCACACAACCAAAAAUAUAUAGACGUUCAGAGCAACAUGGCAACUCAAAUUAUAGGACCACGGCAAGUGUAAAUAUAUUUUUUGUAUAUCCAUGGUGGAUAUAUGAUAUUAGAGGACGGCAUGUUUCAGAAGUUCAGAGCAUGGAUUUUUUAAAAUAUUUAUUUUAAAAAAACUAGUCAAAAGAUUUACCAUUUUCAUUGAAUACAGAAGUAUUAGACAUUGUGGCCACAAGCCAGAUUACAAAACAUCACACUCGCGGCAUUAGAAUACGCAAAUACUUCGCUCCAGCAAGUCCUCAUAGACUACAUUUCUCUAUUACUCUGACCGGCACUGCAAAGUCGCGGAAGACCCUGGCAUUGCUUUCCUUCCAUGUUUCCCAUAAGAUGAGAAGUAUUAGGGAGAUGAGUGGUCGCCGGAACUGCGUCCUGCUGGUUGCAUUAAGGCUCCACCACUCGAAUGAAUCAUCCAAACGGCAGCUUCACGUCCAUGUAGAUCCCAUAUUUGUAUGCCUUAGUUGAGAACACCAUCAACCGAAACGGCAGUUUCAGUUUCCAUGUCCAUGUAGAAGAGGCGCCGAAGGCGUUAGGCGUUGUGCAAUGAUAGGUGCUUAGAAAAAUAAAUCAGAUUUUUUUUAAAGCAUUAAUGUCUAUUUCUACAGAAGAGAUGCCUAAUUAAGCAUUUAUUUUUUACAAAUAAGCAUCGGUGCUUAAAUAAACAUUGAUUUAUUAACCUAAGCACCUUUCCUAAGCAUCUUGCAUUGUACAAGACUGGUUGUUGUUGGGUCUGGAAGAUCAUACCCGAUAGUUAGUUAGUCAAAUUUUUUACCGUGACCCAGCAUGAUUACUCACGUGCACGUGUCACAGCAUGAUUGGGCAAAAGACCGACUGUCCUCAAAUGAAAAAACAGCCGACUGUUGAAUAGACAGUCGAGAAGAACAUAUUUGAAUUUUGAAACCAAACAGAACUGGACCCAAUAGAACAAGUUACUCCAACUCCCGAGGAACGUCACAGCAUGAUGAAGAUAAGCAGGUUUUAUACGGCCCUGAUUACUGUAUUUCGCACUACUACUAGGCCAAAUGCUACUCCAUUUCGGGACUCCUGUUACUCCAACCAAGUAGCGUGCCCGGCUUCUGCAAGGGAGUGGCAAUGAUGACGGCGCGCAUUUGGCUUAAUUCACUGCUUGUAGUCGUCGCUAGUAGUUUAUAGAUUUAGAUAUAAUUUUUAUUAUUUAUGAUGUUUGUUGUACUAUCAUGAUUGAAAAUAAAUAGAUCGAAAAUUUUCUCGUAAAAGAAACACCGAAGGAUCCCGGCGACAGAUUCAGCCCGUCUAACCAGUCUUGAUUCGUCCCUCAAACCAUGUGCUACGACCCCAAAUAAUGAAGUUAAAAUACUCUGCGUGCAGGAUCAUGGUCCCAGAUCUUCAACAGCAAGUGUAAUUGUUUAGCAUGCCAAUGCCCACUUUUAUAUGUCUUUGUAGUAGUAUUUGUGUAACUGUCGACCUGUCUGACUCUGCUGUUAUAUGUAGUGGUACUCGAAUCCAAUGCUCGCUUGGAAAAUGCAACUUGACGUCUAUGCAUCCUUGCUAAGCAAGGCUCAAUGAUUCUCUGUCAUGAUAGAAGGAAAAUUUAAUCACUUGUGCUGUCAACCCCUCCCAUUACGUCCGCAUGUCAUGAUAUAAGCUUAAUCUGAAUUCAGCAGUCUCUGAGUACUUAUUAAGAAACAAGGCACGUAACUGGAUAUUCAAUUCGGUGACCAAACUCAUAUGCACCCGGCGAAAAAAAAAGUUUGAAUUUUUUUAGGUGCAAGAUGUUCCGAUGCGUGAUGUUCGUGCCUAAUUUCAGCUUUUUCAGACAUCUGAGGAGCUCAUGGCAAAAAAGAUAAAAUCAAUCAAAAUAGUACAUGAACAGCAAACUCUCUUACAACCACAAAAUUUGUCCUUUUUUGCUGAGAGCUACUGAAAUGUCCAAACUCCACUAAGUUUGUCAUGAACUUCAGGCACAUGAGCAUCUAGCAUCACAAAAAAAUUCAGAUUCUUUUUUUCAAUUUUAAACGAAUUUACUGUUUGUAACUUCCUGAUUAAGACUAGAAGCUCCAUUGGAGAGCUUAGUGCAAAGUGGUGUGUUUUGCCUUAGAUGAAGGGAAUCCAAAGACUUAGGAAUAGACCAAGCAUAAUGAUGCCAUGAAUUUUGGAGCUCCUUCCAAAAAUAUGACCUGCAAAUGGAGUCAAGGCGCGUGCAUUGCUGUCUAGAACACCUGGAAGUGACAUAAUUCAUAUACACACUGAACAAGUCUUUCAUAGCUUACGAUGACUUAUUAUCUGCCGUUUCUUUAGCAUUUUUUCAUAAGAAAUCUAAUAGCCACUCCCACAUGUAUGAACUAAAUUUCUCGAUUUCAUGUGUUCCCGAGCAUUUGUCGGUAAAAGGACGGGUCUGUCACGGGUCCGUGAAAUGAUGGUAGAGUCAUCAUGGAUCCGUGGAGGAGCAACUUCGUCGUAGGGCACAUACCACUAUCACAGAUUCAUAGUUCAGUUCAUUAGACAUGCCAAUAAAGGCAUGCACAACGAAAUCGCGUACGGCGAUCAUCAUGAUGCUUCAAGGGCAGAGAGACAUGCUUACUACUCCUUCCUAAAUAGUAUUCUUUGUGUAAACUAACAUAAAAGCGUUUAGAUUACUAAAAUAGUGAUCUAAAUGCUUUUAUAUUAGUUUACGGAGUGAGUAUAAGCUUUUUAGAUAUUUCAAUAUAAACAACAUACGGUGCAAAAUGAGUAAAUCUACUCUCUAAAAUGCGUCUAUGAUCCUGUUUGGUUCAGCUUUUAUCGACGGAUUCCGCUGCCGUGCAGCAGAAUCUGAACCAAGCGAACCCAACAGAAUCCGAUUCCAGAAAUCCGCUGCCAAAAUCCGAACCAAAAACGAAAGCAGCCCAAGAUGUACUUUCCAAAAUCUGAUUUCGCCGCGGACCAAAAUCUGAAAAAGCUAUAUCAGCUGGUUUGCCGAAUGUCCUACAUCUUUUUCACAUCAGAUUUUCCACAGCUGUUUUUUCACAGCUGCUUUUAGAAAUUUACAGCCGAACCAAACAGGGCCUAGAUACAUCCGUAUGCAGUACAUAUUGAAAUCUCUAGAAUGGCCUAUAUUUAGAAACGGAGGGAGUAGGAGGCAAGCGAGUCAUCUUCAUGACGUUGCUUGCGGUUCAUAACUUUGGACCAACAAUGUCUGUUCACAAGAACAUCAACCCCCCUCGGACAUGUUACAACUGACAAAAACCCGGAUUAUUGUCCACAACUAUUUUACUUGAGCCACAGAUCAAUCACGGUUAACUAAUCCAAACCGAUAAAGUUAAUAUUUGGGAGUCAGAUAGAUACACAGAGAAUAAUCAAUAAGACCAAACAGCAAGCCCCGAUUCCUCGAGCAGACCGAACGAAACGAAUUUCUUCCAUAGCGACCAUUCAUCCAAAGAUGUAUCUCAGCUCGUAUCACAGAUGCGACGAGCCUCAAGGCCGGUCCCCCAUAUGCAUCAUGAAUCAUUUCCAGCAGUAGAACAGGUUUGCGCGCGAUCUGUUCAAAUCAUAGUCACCUCAGGCAAAUCAGUAUUCAGAAGCACGAUCACCGGCCCGUUUUCGCGCGUUUCAUCCCGGUGGAGUUGAACGGUGAUACACUGGGACUGAGAUGGGGGCUUGGGCUUGGGCUUUCCUCCUCCCUUAGAGUGCCAUUCAGUAUUGCCAAUUCUCUCAGCUGUUGCUUCUUGAAGUAAUCCAUGGAUUCAUCCUGGUGAUACGCAAUACCGUUAGCAAGACAGGUAAAGCCGACUCAAUUCAAAGAAAAAAUGAGGUCAUGGAAAUGUGGGAACUGCGACAGAUAAGAUGGUAAGCGACAUACUACUGGUUUGAGAAGAUCUUCCAGUAUGACCACAGCCUGGUUUAGUCGCGCAUCAACGAUAUCCGCCGGGAACUCAGCUUCGAUAAGCACAUGCAGUGGUUCGUUUAAGUGCUCAUAGCCAGGCUUAGCUCUAAGCUUGUUUUCCUAUUCAAUAAAAAAAAUCAGCUUUCAGAACCUCUCCAACAAUAUUUUUGGUAGUCACUGGAUGAGAGGAAUUGUUAAACACAAGAGUUAAUUCUAUUAAGCAUGCUUACAAAAAUAUACUCCCUCUGUAAAGAAAUAUAAGAGCGUUUUCAAAAGGGAUGCCACUGAAAUAAGUUGUGAAAAACAAUCAACACACCAUACUAUCUAGGCAACAACAUGAGAAUAUAGGCAAGAUGAAUAUAAUGAACACACCACAUUUUAACUGACAGCUCUACUAAAAUAUCAAAUGUUACGGGGUGAGAUACAAAUGGUGAGCAAACAUAGUAUACGGAGCCUAGAAGGUUUGUUUAGACUUUCUGCACUGUUUGUGGGUAAAUUACUUGUAGAAUUUUCAUCUUAACAAGCCAUGGCUUGAAGUUUACGACGCUAGAACAUAACAAAUACCUGAGCAGAACUGGAACCGUUCUUUUACUUCAAUCAAUACAUAUGCUGCCCAUUACUAGCUCAACAUCUAUCAGCCUUUUACUGUGUAAGGCAUAUUGUACUUAUAAAAACAUGGGAGUUUGCCGGCCAAAAAAAAACAUGGGAGUUUUACAUCAAUCAGAAGAAUUCAGGAUCAACCUUCAGUUUUACUUGCAUAUCCAAUUUAAUUAACAAAUAACAACCAUACAUACUAUAUCCAUAUUUUAACGUGCAAAAUAAGCACUGUAACGGAACACGGUCUUAAAAUGUUUCUAGAAAAAAGGUGGUGCUAGAACAUUCUAAGAGUGUGAGUAAGCAACAAUGAAAUGGUGGUUCUAAUCUGUGUUUAAUUACCUUCACAGUAUCUUUCACUGAACCACGUCCACGAAUAUAGACUCUACAUUGUGUUGUAGCUUCAACUCUUUUCAGGGAGUUUCCUCGUGGCCCCAACAAACGGCCAACAAAGUUGAACUAAACAUAACAAAAGAUUGCAGAUGAUUUGAAUUUAGUAAAUCUCAUAAUCGAGUUAAAUAGUUUAUCAAAACAGCUUGAGGUGAAAGUAUGUCGUACAUACAUUUGGAUACUUUUCUGCUGGAACAUCCAUCCUGACAAGUUUCUUCACAACAGGGCCGCCAACAACUCCAGGACCACCAUUCCAGCCCAUGGAUGGUGAAUGGUGUAUCCCCAUAUGCUGAAGGCAGGCAUUUUAAUAUAAUCAAUGAAAAGAAAUAAUAUGUAAGUGUUUCUAUUUGGCAUUGAAGAUGGCCAGUGUUGCACAUUAAUUAUUACUCCCUCCGUCCCAAAAUAAGUGACUCAACUUUGUACUAACUUUAGUACAAAGUUAAGUCACUUAUUUUGGGACGGAGGGACUACAUGAUAAGAAGUUGUACAAGUCUCUUAGUUGUAAUAUCAGGAAAACGAUAUGAAUAAAGAGUCCAUAUAUCCGCAUCACUUCCUUAACAAAACCCAGGUUGAUUCUCUACUGUAUUGUCGAAUUACGAUUUUCAUGGGUGGAUGAAAUUGCUCACAGGUCGUAAAGAUCGGUUACAAGAACGACUGGCCGAGGUUUACCUGGUGUCAAGCUUCUAUCAUUUACAUAUAAUUAUCCUCAUGGGUAGAACCAGUGAUUCCUAAUCAUUAAUCUCGCAGGAAUAAUUUUGAGAUCCAAGGCUUGGAUGAAAAUCACCAUUGAACUAGCAAGAACGUUGUCAUUUUCUCAAAAGGAAAAAGCCAAAACAUGCCAUUCUUGAAUUAUUCAAAGCUAUUAACAUCUGUACUGUAACAGUGGCUGUAACUUGAUUGGUGCUUUUGAAACCAUUCCUAUUAGUAUGACAAUGUAUAGCUUUCCUUUUUUCCGUUUCAUGUUAAUGAACUGGACAGCUGACUGAUACUCGGUCUUAAAAGUGGUUCAUUGGUUCCUGCGAAUUUCUAAACAGCUUCAAGGAUAACAUGAACUAGUUGGCAGCACUCGUAGAGAUUUGCAUAUUUGAAAUAGCCAUAUUAGAAUAAGAAAAAAAAGUAGAGAAAGUAGAUGUAAUCAUGCCAGCAUUUCUCUAACAGCUAUAUAGAACGUUAAGGCAGUUAGGACUUGUAAAACCAAUAAUCAGAAGAUUGUAUGAAUUUGCACAACCUCUGCAUGCAUUCCAGUCCAUCCCUCCAUAUCCAUUGGUUGACCGUUCAUAGGGUGGCCAGCUAAUCUUAAUGGGCUACCAUAAUCGAAUCUCUCAGGUUCAACAAAAUUUGGGUUAGGUGGCAAAGAAGAUGCCCGCAGAAUUUCUGCAUUGAAGAAAACAAGCCAGUACGAAAUCCGUUAGUUCUAUUUGUGUCACUUUAAAUCAGGGAGAAAAUAUCCAUGCUAUGUUUGUAUCUAUAACCUGGAACUACAACUGGAUGUUAGAAUUUAGAAAUCGCCACUCAAGUAAUAUAAUGGUUAAAUUAUGAUAAAGAAGUGAAAAGUAAGCAUGUUAACUGUAAGACAUGACUGAGGAACUUAAGGGUGUUAGACUGUCUGGUAUUCUUGUUUCGUCAAUGAGUUAGUUCUGCAUGUUAGACAAUCUCUGGCAGCAAUUUAUGUGAUUUACAUGAAUGCCAUCAUUUGGGAUUCCGAAGUAACGGUAUGGUGGAACAAGACUGAUAACACAUUCUGAAAAGAAAUCCUCAUGAGCAGCUUUUCAUAUAAAGAGAACGGACAUGAUUGCUCAAAGAAGAAUAGCAAUUUCUUCUGACAAACAGCGAGGAUGGCUAAGAAUAGCAACUGGGUGAAUGUAAACACUCUAAUAGCAACUAGAAUCUACGGUUACUGGGAACUACAUAAACAAAUACAGUAGCUUCCAUGUAAUUUGAAAAAAAAAAAGAGAGAGAAGGGAACAGACCUUGGUUUAAAAGCCUGUUACAAAAUGGAAGAACUUGCAGGAAGGGAACUAGUUUCUGCCUCUCAGCAAGUAACUCAGCAAUAUACCUGCAAAGCAAACCAUCUCAUUAGUAAGAUCAACUGCAAGUACCACAGGCACAUAUUUACUUAAGAGCAGAAAAUAAGAGUAGCACCAAUAAUUAGCGACCUAAUCAAAAGUCAAAACAACGAGCACCCUGCAAAUGAACUUCACACUACCAGAGGCCAAUCGAGGACAUCAUGCUCAUUUAUUCGUAACAGCAAGCACAAAUCUACCAUCAGCAGGCAAUAUCCCCAAAUCCUCAACUUGGGAGAUCACUACAGCGUGGGGACAUCAUUUGACCAUCACCAAAAUCACACCGGGACGGUGAAGAUUAGGCACAAAUCUCGCACGACCAGAGUCAAAUCUCACGCCCACGACGAGUUUUUCAAGCUAGUAGAAUCGUCGCAAAGAUAAAAACGAAAACUUCACGGCAGUUCACAAGAGGAUGAGGAUGGGGCACAGACCUCUCCCUCUCGGAGGCAGACGACCUCAUGGGGUUGUGGUGGUGAGGGGAAGAAUGGACGCCGGACGGCGAGUACUGGAAGAAAGGGGGCGGCGGGAUCCUCUCAUCCAUGGCUCCCAGCAUGAACAAGAAACCAAAGAAGAGCCCUGCAAGAUUUCGUUGCAAUCUCUGGGCAAGCCAGGGAGCCCAGGGAGCCAAGAAAUCUGGAGAAGGGAGGAAGAGGAGCAGCUGGCGGCUAUCAAGGCAAAUGAAUGUGGUGGAGGCCCUAUAUGGGAUCCAAUGAAAUCUAGAAAAGACAGGAAGGUGCCAAGAACCGAGAAAUAAGUGCAGGGAUGGGUGGGGAUUUGAUGAUUAUAUAUGCUAUGGAUUAAACAAAAAGGGGAGGUGAUAGCUGGGUUCGCGUCAAUCAAUUAUCGGAGCCCAGGCUGUGCGGGGCUGGCAGCGGCAGCAGCAGCAGCGCUUUGUGCCUGCCCGCUCCUGCUGUUCUUGCUCGCUGUUCCUCCUCCCUGUACUGCAGCGUCGCACGCACCCUGUGGAGAGGGGUUGUGGGCGACCGGUGAGAGGGGGGAAGAGACAAGCCGGGGGCCUUGGAUGCUCGCUCGCUGCUCUAUGCAGCUGUGGUGUCGCUCACCGGCUUCUGAACUUCGGGCUAUUCGAGGAGAGAAUUUCCUUAUCUGGCCCUUUUUUAAAUUUUGAUUUCUUUUUUGCCUAAAAAACAUCCUUUUUUCUUUUUUAACAUUUAAAUUUAUUUUGUUUCCUAUGUGUCACUUCCGUUAGUUUUGACAAGUAACAGUAUUAAGUUUAACCUAGAAAGACGGUUUUACCCCUUGUGUAGAAUGUGACCUGAUUAUUUACAUGCAAACGUAGAGGUAAUGUAAUAUUUUUUGUUCGCCCAAAAAAAGUGAUAUAUUUUGCUGUAGUUCAAUAAUAAAAAAAUAGUGCUAUAUAUAUAUAAUAGUACUUGCUGUAGAAAAAAGAAUAGUUACUACCCAUGUGUACACGAUUAAAUCAUCGUCACAUCGUCACGACAACUCGUGGGCGUGUCUGGCCGUGGCGGUGUACUGCCUGAGCGUGCCGGCGAGCAUGAGCAUGGCGAAGAUCUGGUGGCUGUACUAGUUGAUGUAACUUGUAAGUCGAACUGUUCGAAGUAACGUUUUUAUUUCUCUUUCAGGUCAGGAAAAAAAAAGAAAAAUGUGCAUGAGACAUGCACGAAAACACGUGUGCAAUCAGAUCACAAGGAUCUCCUAGUUGUAUUCGAUUCUGUAUACAUUACGUAUCUAUGCAGAAUUUUAAUUGUUCUCUGUCCAGUAUGCCGUCCCUAUACUAAUUGCUAAAACUCCAAAGCAUUCACAAACAUCGCGGAAUCCUAGCGCGUGACGUAGAACCCAGCACCGCUGGUGUACACGAGCUCAUGGCAGCAGCGUACACGAGCCCAUGGCUGCCUCCAGCAACACAGGAGCGGCGCUACCUCUCUUUCCAUUUUUGUUGACAAACUACUGUUAAGGGCAAAAUUGUCUUUGCACAUGCUAGUUAACAUUACUGGAUGGAAAAAUGUAUGAAAGUGUCAAAUAGGGAACAUAAUUUAAGCCAAGGUCCAAAUAAGGAAGAUUUUGUUUUAUAGGGCCAAAUAGGGAACCAUAUUUAAAAAAGGGCCAAAUAAGGAAUUCUCUCCUAUUUGAGCCCUUGCUGCUUCUGCAGCUCUCCUUUUCUAGUGUUUUUCUUUUUCUUUUGGCAGAUAUUGUCACUUCCAUCGAUUACUCCUUGAUCUAAACGCUCUUAUAUUUUUUACGAAGGGAGUAUAUUUGAAAAAGAAGAUGAUUGUGUGUCUCCUUGACUCCUCGCUUCAGAGUCAACGAUACGGAACCAUUUCAUUUUGACAUCUUGAUCGGACGGCUAUUAUCGCUGAGUCGAAAAAAGAAUUGACUAUUUUUGGUCAAGGCUCAUUUAUCCGUCCGGUCAACGGCUUUUGAUAUUUCAAAAUCUCAAAUCCAUACAAAAUCAUGCACGUAGAUCAUUUAACGAUACAUAUAGAACAAAUCAAUGAAAAUAACACAAAACAAUUCAACAAUAAAUAAUUCAGACCAAAAAAGUACUAUGUAAUUUAUAAACAUUAUUCAAAGUAUAUAAUUCAACCAAAAAGUUCAUAGGACAUCACGAAUCUAAUGUUCACUAGCAUGAACCCACAUAUACUCCACAAGACCAUUGAGUCAAAGGAUUGAACUAUAUGAAUCACUCAAUUCCAACAUCAUGAAUCGUGCAAUGCAAAAGGAUGUGAAUAUCUUGAUCGGACCACUAUCAUCGCGGAGCUAGAAAUAACUAUUUCUAAUUCAACUGAGUAAUAGUCACUCUCGAACGUAAAAACAUACUUUAAGCUGAGGAAUGGCAUAAAAACUAGAGACUAAAACACCAUUUUUAAGAAAGGCUUUAUGUUUUUCUGGCCAACCUGCUAGGGUUCGAGCCUCAUUUCUACCUUAAAUUUGGUUGGCCAACCUGCUAGGGUUCAAGCCUCAUUUUUAUAUUAAAUAUGGUGCCUAGUUCCUCCUAGGAUCAAAUUGUUUUUUUAAUAUACAAGAUGACAGUCUAGCAACAAAGAUAUUUAAACCAAUUAACUUGACGUGAGUGGGCACUCGAAAUGCAACAAAUCAACGUGGCUUAUCACCCACGACAUGGCAUAGAGAUGGACCUAGAAUAAAAAUGAUAGGGGUACACCACCACCGAGAAUUUGCAUCAACGAACUUAAGCAUCGGGCGUCAUAUACAUAUCAAGAAUAGGUUAUGUCAAGAGGAAAUUAGAAGGUACCCAGUGCCCUGUGCACCUGCAGGUUUACUAUAGGACCGCCCCUAAUAAAGUGUUGAUAAUGAUCGCCUCAAGCAUUGAGGCUGGCCUAAUUGCCAGCCUAAUUGCAUGGUUUGUUCUGUGUGGAGGGUACUGCCAGAAUCUGUGGUGCAUCAUUGUUAUCUAAUGCUAAAAGGACCUAGAUUUCAUACAAAGAGGGUGAAUGUGUGAUUUAAGAAAUCUUACAAUUUUGGCUCAAUCGUAAUGUGGAAAUUUACUAGGCGAAUCUUAUCUAGCCCAAAUCAUAAAUAUGCCAGGAUCAACUAAGUGCACCAAUAAUACAUGUUGAACAACAUGCAAAAUUAAAGGAAAACUAGCUAGCAAUUCAAACUCUGCACCAGACAUAUCAUAAUAGCAAAUGUGAAUUGUGGAAUGUAAUGUGAACGAGAGAUAACUAAUGUAUUUUCCGAGUGUUUUUGCAUCGAACUAAGACUUUAUUUCAAGAUCAUUCGGUUACAGUCUGCCCGCGGGCUUACAAGAAGAAAAUCGGGGCUCUGCUCUAGCCAGCACUCCGUGCCCUCGGCCGAGCAAGCACGUUGCGCACACAAGUGAGCCGGAGUAUUGAACUCCCUACUGACAUGGUGAACCAAAAAAGAAACAAAAUUUGAGGACUAUAUCAUCUAGUUCGUGUAAGAUAGGCACUGCAACCGAUUGAGAGUUGCCUCGCGAGUUCCAUUGGGUGACCAGCUCCAUGCUAUCAACCUCCAUGAUCACAUGUGACAUCCCGCGAAGCUGAGCAAAGAUCACACCCUCCCGGAAGGCUAGAAGUUCGGCGAUGAAAUGAUCUGAAAUGCCGACUAGCGGCUUGCACCAAGCCCCAAUGAAGGAUAAAUGGGACCAGGAAAUACCACCAGCUCUGCCUGUUAGUGCAUCCGGGAAUACCGAUCCAUCGGUGUUGAUGGUAAUCCACCCCGCGUCGGGGGGUUUCCAUCCCUGUCCCGCCUGCACCCUAGUGCGACGAACAGGUAAAUCCAGCAAAGAUAGAGUUUCAUGGAUCCAUUUAACCGCCUGAACUGGAUCAUAUCCAUCUUGUUCAUGAGUCCACUUGUUUCUGGAAGUCCAUAUUGCAUGCAUUAUUGUGAUGAUCUUGCAUUUGGUGUCAUCUGCGAACAUGGGAUCCAACACAAUAUCACGCGCCCACGUUAGUGGAUGCAGCCUAGGUAGUUGAAGGUCGAACCGACCCUUGGCCGCUAUCCAGAACUGCUUUGCAUGCGAGCAUGAAAUAAGCGCAUGCAUUAAAUCUUCAUCCAUUGACUGACAAAUGUCACAACGUCCAAGUGGUUUGAUAUGUCGAUGCUUCAAGGUCGAGGAGUCUGGCAAGAUACCGCGGAGAACUCUCCACCAGAAAACCCUAACUUUCGGCACCACAUGUAUUUUCCAAAGUGCUGACCACAACUGUUUAUUCGCUGAUGAAGUAUCUGUAGUCGUCCUUCCUCUAGAGAGCUAAGCUCGUUGCGAGUCAUUAGAGAGCGAUGCGUUGAUUUGACAGUGUACUUGCCUGACUUUUCGAGUGCCCACACCAAAGUGUCUUCCCCUCCAGCUCGAUUCAAAGGUAUGUUCAGAAUUGCCUCAGCGUCCGGGAGGAGUAAAUUUUGGCGAACAAGAUCAACAUUCCGAUUUCUAGUGUAAUCAUCAAUCAACUUCGAUACGUACUCGAGAGCGGCAGCCCCUAAUCGGCCGACUGGUUUCAUAGAGACAGUAUUGGGGAUCCAAGGGUCGUUCCAAAUAGAGAUAGAGGAACCAUCACCUACCCGAUGGAUCAGCCCCGCCUCCACAGCCUUCCUUCCCGCAAUGAUCGCUCUCCAGGUCGAAGAAGCACUCUUAGGAAUCAAAGCUUGGAGAAAGUUUGUGUUAGGGAAGUAUUUACCUUUCAACACCCUUGCACAAAGUGAAUUUGGGUUCGUUAGGAGUCGCCAGCCUUGCUUGCCGAGCAUAGCGAGAUUAAAAACUUGAGGGUCCCGAAAACCCAAGCCACCCUUGAUCUUAGGUUAUGUCAAUUUAUCCCAAGCUAGCAACUGUAGGGAUCUCUUAUCCAAAGAGCUUCCCCACCAGUACUUUGCCAUUGGCGAGGUGAUAGUCUUGCACACUUUCUUUGUCAGCUGAAAACAACUCAUACUGUAGGUUGGGAUUGCCUGAGCAAUAGAUUUUAGAAGCACUUCCCUCCCCGCACAAGCAAGGUUUCGUUCUGACCAGCCACAAAUCUUGUUGCAGAUACGAUCACUAAUGUGGCUGAAAGUACCACUUGUGAUUCGUCCAAUGGCCGUGGGCAAUCCCAAAUAUCAUUCGGAGAACGCCUCAACUGAAAUACCGAGAGAUUGUUUGAGAGUCUCUUGAAGGGACUGCUCUGUAUUGCCACUAAAGAAGAUGGAGCUCUCGUCCCGGUUCACUGCCUGACCCGAACAAGUAGCAUAUAUAUGAAGAAUCUUAUUGAGCCAUUAUGCACUUUGGGUGUUAGCUUUGAGGAAAAUGAGACUGUCGUCAGCAAAUAAGAGAUGACUAACCCAUGGUGCUUGAAAGCUCACACGGAUCCCCCUGUCAAUACGCACACCGCCAAAUUUAUUGAGCAUUGAGGUGAGUCCUUGGGCGCAUAUUAGAAAGAGAUAUGGAAAUACUAGGCAGACUUGGCGUAGUCCUUUGAACGGGCUGAAAUACGGUAGCAACUCUCCGUUAACCUUGAUGGUGAAUAUAAUUGAUGUCACACACUUCAUAAUUAGGCUGGUAAAACGAUCACCGAAGCCUAGUUUAGCCAACAUAGCUUCGAGAUAAUGCAAUUCCACACGAUCGUACGCUUUGAGCAUAUCAAGCUUGAUAGCGCAGCUGUAGUUCUUGCCCUUCUUCCUUCUCCUAAUAGCAUGGAUACACUCAUAGGCCACUAGAACGUUGUCCAUGAUUAAGCGGCCUGGAACAAAAGCGCUUUCUUCUUCCCCAAUGACCUCGUCAAGGAUAAGACGAGCGCGGUUGGCCACUGUCGACGGCGAUUUUGUACAAAACUGGGCACAAAGCGAUUAGCCUGUACCGUGAGAUUCUCUGUGGGUGAUGGACUUAGGGAUAAAAGUUAUUGCCGUAUCAUUCAGUCCCAAAGGUAGCUCCCCACCAUUCAAAAAACUCAGUAUUGCCAAAGUGAUAUCCUCCCCCACGACAUCCCAGUGUCGUUGGUAAAAAGUCGUGGUGAAUCCAUCUACGCCGGGCGCUUUGGAUGGCGCCAUAUCGUACAAUGCAGUUUUUACCUCGACCGCCGUGUACUCCCUCUUGAGUGUAUAAUUCAUGUCAGCGGUUACCCAUUGUUGAAAGCAUUGCAACAGCCCCUCCAUCAGACUGUAGCCUUGUGAUUGGUACAUUGCACGGUAGAAGUUAGUGACUUCCUCUUUUACCUCAACUGGAUCACUACUCACAUGGCCGUCAGCCAGCUCCAAUGAGGUGAUACGGUUGGUGUAAGUGCAUCUAGUGACCCAUAGUGAUUUUGGUGUAUUGAAGACUUAUAGGUUAAGGGACUAAUGCGUUUGUGAGUGUACACAGAUCUAUAAGUCUAUGAGGAGUUUGGUAUCUAUAGAGAAAGUCGACCCCUAAAAAUGAAUGUCUUCAACUGAAGACUUUGGAUUUCUGAAGACUUUGAAAGUGAAGAAAUUGGUGUGACCAUGAAGACUUGAUAUUCAUGUGAGGAACAUGAAGCGUGAAGACUUUUGUUUUUGUAGUUUCAUUUUCUCUUUCUUGAGUCAUAGGAAACACCGUACUAUUAAAGGGGGCCAAGGUAAAACUAAGGAAAAGUUUCCAAGUGAUGCUCAACUCAAAAUCCUACACCUACCAAUCCCUUCGAGUGAAGCCAUUGGAAAUCUCAUACAGUUUAGUCAAUUUCUUCAGUGACAGAGAUGAAGUUCUUCUGGUCUCUGAGGAAUUUGUCCUGACUGAGGAGUUAGGAAUUCGCCAGUGCGGAUUGCCUACAAGUGAGGAACAUGAUAGCCCUGAAGAACUUGAACCUCAAAUUUCCGACUGUUGAUGUGCUAUGCGCCAGCUGUCCCAAAAUACCUACCCACCUAAGGGUCAUAUCAUUGAAGGGCAUUUAUGUCUUACCAUGUGAUACAUCUCCAAUGUAUCUAUAAUUUAUGAAGUAUUCAUGCUAUUAUAUUAUCAACCUUGGAUGUUUUAUAUGCAUUAUAUGAUAUUUUAUAUGGUUUUUGGGACUAACCUAUUAACCUAGAGCCCGGUGCCAGUUUCUGUUUUUUCCUUGUUUUUUAGUUUUAUAGAAAAGGACUAUCAAACGGAGUCCAAUUGACGUGCCAAUUUUUGACGUUUUUUAUGGACCAAAAUAAGACCUCGGAGUAAAGAGUUGGGCCAGAAGAGUCCCAGGCUGUCCACGAGGGUGGGGGCGCGCCCACCCCCCUGGGCGUGGGCCCCUGCCUCGUGGACGCCUCGGGCACCUCCUUGACGUGAGACCGACGCCAAAAAUUCCUAUAAAUACAGAAACCUUGGAAAAUUAACCUAGAUCGGGAGUUCCGCCGCCAGAAGCCUCCGUAGCCACUGAAAACCAAUCUAGGCCCUCUCUGGCACCCUGCCGGAGGGGGCCAUCAUCACCGGAGGCCAUGGAGGAGGAUCCUGGAGGGGCCAUCGUCGCCAUGAAGGCCAAGGACCAGAGAGAGAACCUCUCCCCAUCUAGGGGGGAAGCCAUGGAGGAGGAAGCACAAGGGGGAGAACCUCUCCUCCUCUCUCUUGGUGGCACCGGAGUGCCAUCGGGAGGGGAAUCAUCGCCAUGGUGAUCGUCUUCAUCAACAUCACCAUCAUCAUCAUCACCAUCCUCAUCUAUUUUACGCGGUCCACUCUCCCGCACCUUGCUGUAAUCCCUACUUGAACAUGGUGCUUUAUGCCACAUAUUAUGAUCCAAUGAUGUGUUGCCAUCCUAUGAUGUUUUGAGUAGAUAUCUUUUGUCUUUGGAUUGAUUGAUGAUCUAGAUUGGUAUGAGUUGUAUAUUUUACUUUGGUGCUGUCCUAUGGUGCACUCUGUGUCGCGCAAGCGUGAGGGAUUCCCGCUGUAGGCUGUUGCAAUUCGUUUAUGAUUCUCUUAUAGUGGGUUGCGUGAGUGACUGAAACACAAACCCGAGUAAGGGGGUUGUUGCGUAUGGGAUAAAGAGGACUUGAUGCUUUAAUGCUAUGGUUGGGUUUUACCUUAAUGAUCUUUAGUAGUUGCGGAUGCUUGCUAAAGUUCCAAUCAUAAGUGCAUAUGAUCCAAGUAGAUAAAGUAUGUUAGCUUAUGCCUCUCCCUCAUAUGAAACUGCAAUAGUGAUUACCGGUCUUGUUAACAAUUGCCUAGGACAAUUCCGCACACCGAUCCACCAUUAUUCCACACUCGCUAUUUAUAAUAUUUAGUAAUAUAUUCUAACUUUAUGAUAAAAACACCUACUUUUAUAUUUUACCUCUCCGAUAUCAUGCAAAGUUAUCCAAUUCAUAACCACAACGUAGUUUUAUUUCUCGUUGCUAGUUGGAAGCAAACGUUUGGUGUACGUAGAGUCGUAUCAGUGGCAGAUAGGGCUUGAGAGAAUAUUGAUCUUACCUUUAGCUCCUUGUGGGUUCGACACUCCAUACUUAUCACUUCCACCUUUGGAAAUUGCUACGAUGAUUCCCUACACUUGGGGAUUAUCAAGCUCUUUUCUGGCGCCGUUGCCGGGGAGCAAUAGCGCGGGAUUGAUAUUCUCGUGUAUGCUUGUUUGCUUUCUUCACUAAGUAGAUUUUGUUUUUCCUUUUUUUCUGUUUAGUUGUGGGUGAAACAUACAAAAAACAUUUAAAAGAAUGAAAAUACCAAAAAAUUACUUGCCUCUCAUGCCUAAAAAGUUUUUCAAAAAGAGAAGUGAAUGGAAAGUUAUGCAUUGAAGAAGUGAGGGUCGACCUUGAGCACUCGUGUUCAUGCUCACGGAAACAAUGUAGAAUUUUUCAUGGAAGUUUCUCUGUAAAUAAUUAUCCCUUUAUAUAUAUCCAUUGUAUUAUAAAAAUAAUGUGCCAAGCCUUGGUUUUAGGAUGAUUAGAUUGCUUGUUUACUAUGUGCAGAACAAAAACAGAAACUUUGGAUGUAGCGCGUGAUUUUACAUUUUUUACUGGAUAGUCAAAUGAGUCUGAAACUUUUUGCACAUUACUUCUGUAUAAAUUGUUCAAAUUGUCAAAUUUAUUGCAUAAUUGUUGGAGUUACAGAAGUUUACUAAACCUCCAGAUUACUACAGACUGUCAUGUUUUAGACAGAUUCUGUUUUCGUGUGUUGUUUGCUUAUUUCGAUGCAUCUAUGGCUAGUAUCGGGGGGUAUGAACCAUAAAGAAGUUGGAAUACAGUAGAUAUAGUUAUCAUAUGAAAUUGGAAUGAGUCUGAAACAGUACCUAAAUGUAGUGAUUUGCUUUAUUAUACUAACGGAUCUCACAAAGUUUUUGUUAAAGCUUUGUAUGGAUGAAGGGUUCGAAGAACAAGGAGUUACCGAUGUGAGAAGAAUAAAGAGAGGCAAGAGCUCAAGCUUGGGGAUGCCCAAGGCAUCCCAAGUAAAUAUUCUAAGGAUACUCAAGCAUCUAAGCUUGGGGAUGCCCGAUUGGCAUCCCAUCUUUCUUCUUCAACAAUUAUUGGUAUAUCUCGGUUUUUGUUUUGUUCACAUGAUUUGUGUCCUUUGUGUUUUUCUUUUUCUCUAAGAACCAUGCUAGUAUGAGAUGUCCCUUCAUCAAUUUAUAGAAUACUUCAUGUGCUUCACUUAUAUCUUUUAAGUAUGAUCGUAUAGAAUUGCUCUUUGAGCUUCACUUAAAUCUUUUGAGUAUGGUUUUAUAGAAUGCUUCGUGUGCUUCACUUAUACAUUUUGAGCUUGGAUAUUGGUUAGUUUAUAUUAAUUGUAGAAUGCUCCAUGAACUUCACUUAUAUCUUUUGGAGUACGAAUAAUACUAUCAUCUAAAGCGGGUUUGGAAGAGUGUCAACUUUAGGAACUAGUGAUCCCGCAAUUCCGAAUGAGAAGAAUUUUGCUUAUGUGGAGAGUAGUAAAAUUUCUAUGCUCGCAGAUCAUGAAAAGAAUGCUUUAUAUGAUGGUUAUAUUGUUGAAAUCAUUCAUGAUGCUACUGAAAAUUAUUAUGAGGGAGGAAUACAUGCUUGUAGGAGUUGCAAUAAUAUCAAGUUUCCUCUCUAUGUGCUUAAAGUUUAGAAGUUAUACUUGUUUUGCCUUCCUAUGUUAGUUGAUUAUUGUUCCCAUAAAUUGUGCGCUCACAAAAUCCCUAGGCAUAGGAAGUUGGUUAGGUUUAAAUGUGCUAGUCAUAUUCUUCAUGAUGCUCUCUUUAUGCUUCAAUUCUUAUCUUUUAUGUGAGCAUCAUUGAAAUCAUCAUGCCUAGCUAAAAGGCAUUAAAGAAAAGCGCUUGUUGGGAGACAACCCAAUAUUUAUCCUUAUUGUUUUUAUGUGAUUAAGCUACUGUAGUAAUCAUGUUUUAUAGCUUUUGUUUCAAUAAAGUCCCAAGUAAGACCUUUGGGAAGACUUGGGUGAAAGUUAAUGUGAUCUUGCUGUAAAAAACAGAAACUUUGCGCUCAUGAGAUUAGCUGCCAUUUUUUACAGAAGAGUGCUUUGAUCCUGAUUCUUUUUGCAGAAGAUUAAUAGACAAAUUCCUCACGUCGACCAAUUUAUUUAAUAAUUUUUUGAGUAGCAGAAGUAUGGUUAGUGUUCAGAUCAUUACAGACUGUUCUGUUUCUGACAGAUUCUGUUUUCAUUGCUUAGUUUGCUUGGUUUCUAGUUUUUAUGGCUUAUAUUUCUCAACAUAAAUUGUAGAAAUGAUAUGGUACAGUAGGAAUUGUGUGAGAACAAUUAUGAACCUUGUCUUUGACAGUGCCAAAGUGAAUGGUUUACUCUUUAUUAUACUAACCUAUCU
rnacentral:lncRNA from 1 species